rnacentral:rRNA from 1 species
UACGUAGGGGGGCUAGCGUUGUCCGGAAUCAUUGGGCGUAAAGAGCGCGUAGGCGGCCAGAUAAGUCCGGUGUGAAAGUCACAGGCUCAACCUGUGAAUGCCGCUGGAAACUGUCUGGCUAGAGUCCGGGAGGGGCGAGUGGAAUUCCUGGUGUAGCGGUGAAAUGCGCAGAUAUCAGGAAGAACACCCGUGGCGAAGGCGGCUCUCUGGGACGGUACUGACGCUGAGACGCGAAAGUGUGGGGGAGCGAACAGG